UUGUCAUCUGCAAAGGUUUUGUAUACUUAAAGCUAGCAAUAAGCAUCUUCUUCCUCAAAAUUCAGCAUGGCAAGAAUGGCUACUACUAAGGCCACCAAGUUCAUAGUUUUGGCUGUUCUUGUUGCGAUCUUUCUGCUCAUGUCCACUGAGGUGGCCACUGCUGCACUUGAUGCAUCCUUGACAGAUCAGCUUAAGCUUGGAAGAAGGGUUCUUCAAACUAACACCAACGGGCGGGGAGGAUACAAUAGCUACAAUACCACUGGUCGUGGAGGAUAUAAUUAAUUAGAUUCUUGAUCGUAUUAUGAAUAAAGCUAUUACAUCCAUGCUUUGUUAAUUUGGGUUUAAUGUCUGUUUGUUUUCUGAAUAAUUAGGUUGUUUCUAGGAAGAGAAGCACUACUACAGUCACAAAACGAUUUUACAAAAAUAAAUCUACAAACUUGACAUAGUUUUUUAGAUCUAUUUUAUAAUAAAAGUACUUUUAAAAUUUAACGUACAAUAUCAAACCAUGUCAAUUUGUUGAUUUACUUUUGUGAGAUCUUUUUGUGACUAAAACAUUUCUCUUCUAAAAUAGAUGCCAUGUAAGUACGUGUCUGGAUGUUUCGUUUUGUGGUAAAACAUGAGUACUGGUCAUGCACCAACCAUCGAGGAUCGUGACUAGCUAGCUUUUCUAUUACUCCGUGUUUCUUCUGUUUUGGUGACUAUAUAUGAAUAAAGUUUGCUCUUAAAUGGCAUUGGCGUGUGAA